rnacentral:rRNA from 1 species
AACGCAGCGAAGGGCGAUAAGUAAUGUGAAUUGCAGAAUUCAGUGAAUCAUCGAAUCUUUGAACGCAUAUUGCGCUCUCUGGUAUUCCGGAGAGCAUGCCUGUUUCAGUAUCAGUAUUACCCUUCAAACUUUAAUUAAUUUUUUAAUUAUUGAAGUUUUGGACUUGAACGUCAGGUUGAAUUAUAAUUUGUUUUAUGAUAUAACCACGUUUGAAAAUAAAGCCACUUGAGGUUUCGCAGACCCCAGAACAAGGCGAAAAGCGUAAUAGUUGACCUUUUUUGGUCAUCUUCUUCGCUGAAAGCCUUUUGUUUUGGGAAAAGUUUGCAAAGUCUUUUAUGUGAUUGCAGGAAAAAUUACUAUUAAUUUAGUCUAUUUUCUUGAUCUGAAAUCAGGUAGGAUUACCCGCUGAACUUAA